UGGGGAAUCUUAGACAAUGGGGGAAACCCUGAUCUAGCCAUGCCGCGUGGACGAUGAAGGCCUUAGGGUUGUAAAGUCCUUUCAGCUGGGAAGAUAAUGACGGUACCAGCAGAAGAAGCCCCGGCUAACUCCGUGCCAGCAGCCGCGGUAAUACGGAGGGGGCUAGCGUUGUUCGGAAUUACUGGGCGUAAAGCGCACGUAGGCGGACUGGAAAGUUGGGGGUGAAAUCCCAGGGCUCAACCCUGGAACU
rnacentral:rRNA from 1 species